rnacentral:snRNA from 1 species
GUACUCGCUUUGGCAGCACAUAUUUUAAAAUUGGACGGAUACAGAGAAGAUUAACAUGGCUCCUGUGCAAGGAUGACAGGCACAUUCGUGAAACAUUCCAUUUUUCA